rnacentral:rRNA from 1 species
UACGUAGGGGGCUAGCGUUGUCCGGAUUUAUUGGGCGUAAAGAGCGUGUAGGCGGCCAUGUAGGUCCGGUGUGAAAACUCGAGGCUUAACCUCGAGAUGUCAUCGGAAACCAUUUGGCUAGAGUCCGGAAGAGGAGAGUGGAAUUCCUGGUGUAGCGGUGAAAUGCGCAGAUAUCAGGAGGAACACCGAUGGCGAAGGCAGCUCGCUGGGACGGUACUGACGCUGAGGCGCGAAAGCGUGGGAGCAAACAGG